CCGACCGCUAUACGUAACAAUAUGAUCACAAGAUCAACCUGGUUUCGAUCAAGUCCGUCCCGCCUUUCAACUAGGACAUUGCGAACGACCUGGAGAACAUAUACGGCUACCAAACCGAUUACUCAGGUCCAUCCUCUUUUACACCUCAUCCUCGUGCUCGUCGUUCCUCCUCAUUAAUCAGGUCCUGGUGCACGCGCGAGAUUGCGCCUACACGAAGAGACCGUUAUAGCCGUCCAGAAACACACGCGUCUCUUCGCCAGGUUCACGCUCUGCAUGCCAGAUGACACCCAGCCAGGGCAACCACUGCUGUCCUCUUCACUGAUACAUACACGAGCUUACCUGAGGCAUAGACUAUAGAGUAUAUAUGUAUGUAGACGUGCAGUAUAUAUAUAGACAGCAGUGAAACUACCUGGUAGCGUAACGGCGCGUGCCCCUCGUGUGCCAUCGAAAUUUCCGGGCACGAGACUCCGUUGCGUUCCAUUUGGAUGAUCAUGAGUGAGCAUAUGUAUACGUAUACCAUGGGUAACAUACAAGGUGAAUAGACGAUUUAUUUUUUAGCUUCAUCCUUCACGAGAUGACUGGUAGAACUUUUUUGAAGCACCGUUCACGGCGAAGGAAAAACGAAAGACGAUGGGAUGAUUCUGUGGCUAAUUGAAAUGUAUCACCGUUACUUAAUGCGGAUCUCCGUAUAGAAAACGAGGCCACAAUUACGCUACCGCGUACCCGGGAGGCUGCCUUCGUUUUUGUCUGCCGUGAAUUAAUGCGCGUCAGAAGAACUGCCGUUCGCUGGUGUAUAUACAGGUCAAAACAAAAAUUACCUCCUUCGUAUGGUCCCAGUAAGGAAAUCAGGAUAUAUCACUCGUGAGUGAUAAAGGAUGAAUUACGUUCUCCAUAGGAAAAGGAAGUGCGGUUGACGCGCAGUUGACCCUCCAGGCUUUAUUCUUCGUCCUGAGACUUCAGAAUUGGGGUUACGUGCCAUCGGGACGCAACAGUUUCACGCUUGGCUGCCCUCCUGAAUCGUGGUGCUUCGUUUAAUCACCCUGCAGGGGAUAGUCGGCCACCUUCCCCUUUACGCUCGUAACCUAACCUCAACCCCUAACACCCUACGUUGGACUACCUCACUGUAGCGGACUCCUUGCUGUAUUUACUGCCAGAUAUCAACAUUCUAAGCCUUGAUCGAACCACUGAUGCAUUUCGCUACAAGCCUGUAUCAAGAAGAAGUAUAUGCUAUGGAAGAAUCGGUGCAACCGCUUUUUUUAAACUGGGAUGAAACAUUUUUACAGUUGCAAUCGGAACUUUUCUCCCUGAGACAGCGUGUCUGCUAUGCCCGUAUGGCAUUAAGUAACAGCUGUUGCACUAUAGACACGUUGGUAUA